rnacentral:rRNA from 1 species
GCGAGUGAAGCGGCAACAGCUCAAAUUUGAAAGCUGGCUUAGGCCCGCAUUGUAAUUUGCAGAGGAUGCUUCUGGCGAGGUGCCUUCCGAGUUCCCUGGAACGGGACGCCAUAGAGGGUGAGAGCCCCGUAUGGAUGGACACCAAACCUGUGUGAAGCUCCUUCAACGAGUCGAGUAGUUUGGGAAUGCUGCUCUAAAUGGGAGGUAAAUCUCUUCUAAAGCUAAAUACCGGCCAGAGACCGAUAGCGCACAAGUAGAGUGAUCGAAAGAUGAAAAGCACCUUGAAAAGGGGGUUAAACAGUACGUGAAAUUGUUGAAAGGGAAGCGCUUGUGACCAGACUUGCGCCGGGCAGCUCAUCAGGGGUUCUCCCCUGUGCACUCUGCCCGGCUCAGGCCAGCAUCGGUUCUCGUGGGAGGAUAAGAACGGUAGGAACGUGGCCCCCCUCCGGGGGGGUGUUAUAGCCUGCCGUACGAUACUCCCGUGGGGACCGAGGUUCGCGCUCCGCAAGGAUGCUGGC